rnacentral:rRNA from 1 species
UACGUAGGGUGCAAGCGUUAAUCGGAAUUACUGGGCGUAAAGCGUGCGCAGGCGGUUUUGUAAGUCUGUCGUGAAAUCCCCAGGCUCAACCUGGGAACUGCGUCCGAUACUGGAUGGCUUGAAUUCGGGAGAGGGAUGCAGAAUUCCAGGUGUAGCGGUGAAAUGCGUAGAUAUCUGGAGGAAUACCGGUGGCGAAGGCGGCAUCCUGGACCGACAUUGACGCUGAACGGCGAAAGCUAGGGGAGCAAACGGG